UACGUAGGGUGCGGGCGUUGUCCGGAAUUAUUGGGCGUAAAGGGCUCGUAGGCGGUCUGUUGCGUCGGGAGUGAAAACUCAGGGCUUAACCCUGAGCCUGCUUCCGAUACGGGCAGGCUAGAGGUAUGCAGGGGAGAACGGAAUUCCUGGUGUAGCGGUGAAAUGCGCAGAUAUCAGGAGGAACACCGGUGGCGAAGGCGGUUCUCUGGGCAUUACCUGACGCUGAGGAGCGAAAGUGUGGGGAGCGAACAGG
rnacentral:rRNA from 1 species